rnacentral:rRNA from 1 species
GUGGAUUAGAUACCCUGGUAGUCCACGCCGUAAACGGUGGGUGCUAGGUGUAGGCGGUAUUCCACGCCGUCUGUGCCGCAGCUAACGCAUUAAGCACCCCGCCUGGGGAGUACGGCCGCAAGGCUAAAACUCAAAGGAAUUGACGGGGGCCCGCACAAGCGGCGGAGCAUGUGGCUUAAUUCGACGCAACGCGAAGAACCUUACCAAGGCUUGACAUGCAGGGAAAUCUCCCAGAGAUGGGAGGUCCGCAAGGGUCCUGCACAGAUGGUGCACGGUCGUCGUCAACU